UACGUAGGGUGCAAGCGUUGUCCGGAAUUAUUGGGCGUAAAGAGCUCGUAGGCGGUUUGUCGCGUCUGCUGUGAAAACUGGAGGCUCAACCUCCAGCCUGCAGUGGGUACGGGCAGACUAGAGUGCGGUGGGGGAGAUUGGAAUUCCUGGUGUAGCGGUGGAAUGCGCAGAUAUCAGGAGGAACACCAAUGGCGAAGGCAGAUCUCUGGGCCGUAACUGACGCUGAGGAGCGAAAGCAUGGGGAGCGAACAGGAUUAGAUACCCUGGUAGUCCAUGCCGUAAACGUUGGGAACUAGAUGUAGGGUCCAUUCCACGGAUUCUGUGUCGCAGCUAACGCAUUAAGUUCCCCGCCUGGGGAGUACGGCCGCAAGGCUAAGACUCAAAG
rnacentral:rRNA from 1 species